AUGGAGCUCGGUCUCCAUAGGAUCCGGUUCCCUCCACCGUACGCGUGCUCACCAAGGGCGGCCAUCGCGCCCUACGGCGACUACUGGCGCCAGAUGCACCGCAUCGCCGUCAACGAGCUCCUCACGAUGCGUCGCGUCCUCUCCUUCCGCGCCAUCCGGGAGGAGGAGGUCGCCGCCAUGCUCUGGGCCGUCGCAUCCAUCGGGGAUGGCGGCGCCGUGGUUGACAUGCACGCGCGACUGUCGUGCUCGUGGCCGACAGCACGCUGCGCGUGA
rnacentral:rRNA from 1 species